rnacentral:misc_RNA from 1 species
GAAUUGCGAAACGUAAUGUGAAUUGCAGCUUGUGAAUCAUCCAGUUUUUGAACGCACCUUGCGCUCCGAUAGGUCACCAACCGCGGAGCAUGGCUGUUUGAGGGUCCCCUCUAUAUCUUACCAACACUUUGUUGUGUUGGCAAGGAGCAAUGAGCACUUGGUUUGUCGAAAGGCCGACUGGUGCUUGAAAUGCAUAGGAGCAAGCGCUAGAACUAGCUUUCUAGAGCGGCGGAUUCGGUUGCAGUUGGUAUCCAGCGUCUUGCGACGCCGGAUACCGAUACCAACUGCCCCUGGUAUACUAGUGACUUGCCUCACACCUUUUGGUUACCUCGGACUCACCCAAUCCCCUCCUCCCAGGGAAUUUAUUAGUUGGACAUCAAAUCAGCCAGGACUACCCGCU